CCUACGGGCGGCAGCAGUGGGGAAUAUUGGACAAUGGGCGAAAGCCUGAUCCAGCCAUGCCGCGUGUGUGAAGAAGGCCUUCGGGUUGUAAAGCACUUUCAGUGGGGAAGAAAGCCUUGGGGCUAAUACCCUCGAGGAAGGACAUCACCCACAGAAGAAGCACAGGCUAACUCCGUGCCAGCAGCCGCGGUAAUACGGAGGGUGCGAGCGUUAAUCGGAAUUACUGGGCGUAAAGCGCGCGUAGGCGGUCUGAUAAGCCGGUUGUGAAAGCCCCGGGCUCAACCUGGGAACGGCAUCCGGAACUGUCAGGCUAGAGUGCAGGAGAGGAAGGUAGAAUUCCCUGUGUAGCGGUGAAAUGCGUAGAUAUCUGGAGGAAUACCAGUGGCGAAGGCGGCUUUCUGGAUUGACACUGACGCUGAGGUGCGAAAGCGUGGGUAGCAAACAGGAUUAGAUACCCUAGUAGUC
rnacentral:rRNA from 1 species